ncrna:Lyngbya sp. PCC 8106 HNH endonuclease-associated RNA and ORF (HEARO) RNA
GUCAGCACCCCGCCCUAAAGAGCAGGGGCCGAAGCGCCUCUCUUUUUAGGUAGCUAGUACCCGCCUAAGUCCCUUGAGGGCUACGUUAUCGGUGAGAGUUAACGUUCCGAGCGGGAGAUGCGUGGCCAGUCUCCGGCUCUAGAACCACAGCAUUAAACAGUCCUACGAGGGGUAAGACAGUGUGUUGUGGAAAGUACCGACCGAUAACAUUGGCGAGGCAAACAUUAC